AGUGAACGCUGGCGGUAGGCCUAACACAUGCAAGUCGAACGGCAGCACAGUAAGAGCUUGGUCUUAUGGGUGGCGAGUCGCGGACGGAUGAGGAAUACAACGGAACCUACUCUUUCGGGGGGGUUAACGUAACUAAACCUACGCUAAUACCGCAUACGACCCACGGGGGAAAGCAGUGGAUCGUCGCAGCUUGCGCGAUUGAACGAGCCGCUGUCGGAUUAGCUAGUUGGCUGGUUAAAGACCCACCAAGGCGACGAUCGGUAGCUGGUGUGAGAGGCUGAUCACCCGCAUUAGAACUGAGACACGGUCCAGACUACUACGAGAGGCAGCAGAGGGGAAUAGUGGGCAGUGGGCGCGAGCAUGAUCCAGCGGUACCGAGUGGGUUAAGAAGGCGUUCGGGUUGUAAAGCCCUUUUGUUGGGAAAGAAAAGCAGCAGGUUAUUACGCCGCUGUUCUGACGGUACCCAAAGAAUAAGCACCGGCUAACUUCGUG
rnacentral:rRNA from 1 species